UGAAACGAUGAUAUCUUUCACUUCUGCGGC
rnacentral:sRNA from 1 species